GACGAACGCUGGCGGCGUGCUUAACACAUGCAAGUCGAACGGAAAGGCCCUGCUUUUGUGGGGGGCUCGAGUGGCGAACGGGUGAGGAACACGAGAGUAACCUGCCCUUGACUUUGGGAUAACUUAAGGAAACUGGGGCUAAUACCGGAUAGGAGCUCCUGCUGCAUGGUGAGGGUUGGAAAGUUUCUGCGGUUGGGGAUGGACUCGCGGCUUAUCAGCUUGUUGGUGGGGUAGUGGCUUACCAAGGCUUUGACGGGUAGCCGGCCUGAGAGGGUGACCGGCCCCAUUGGGACUGAGAUGCGGCCCAGCCUCCUACGGGAGGCAGCAGUGGGGAAUAUUGCACAGUGGGCGGAAGCCUGAUGCGACAGCGCCGCGUGCGGGAUGACGGCCUUCGGGUUGUGAACCGCUUUCGCCUGUGACGAAGCGUGAGUGACGGUAAUGGGUAAAGAAGCACCGGCUAACUACGUG
rnacentral:rRNA from 1 species